GGUGGGCUGACGCAUUAUUAGAUAAAAGCCAGUGUCAUGCUUUUAUAGUAUGAAAAUUGGUGAUUUAUAAUAACUUAGCAAAUCGCAAAGUGAAAACAGGCGAUAAAUCAUUCAAGUUUCUGACCUAUCAGCUUUCGACGGUAUGGUAUUGGCUUACCGUGGCAGUGACGGUUAACGGGGGAUUAGGGUUCGAUUCCGGAGAGGGAGCCUGAGAAACGGCUACCACAUCUAAGGAAGGCAGCAGGCGCGCAAAUUACCCAAUUCUAACAGUUUGAGAGAGGUAGUAACAAGAAAUAACAAUACAAGGCAGUUAAAAUGCUUUGUAAUUGGAAUGAUAGAAAUUUAAACCCUUUUUAAAGUAUCAAUUGGAGGGCAAGUCUGGUGCCAGCAGCCGCGGUAAUUCCAGCUCCAAUAGCGUAUAUUAAAAUUGUUGCAGUUAAAAAGCUCGUAGUUGAAGUUCUGCUGAAAGUAACCGGUCUGCUUUUAAUAAAAGUGGUAUCUUGGUAUGUAUUUAGCAAUGAUGUCCUUUGAAGUGUUUUUUACUUUAUUGUAAUAAAGCAUAUUCAGGACUUUUACUUUGAGAAAAUUAGAGUGUUUCUAGCAGGCUAACGCUUUGAAUACUGCAGCAGAAAUAAAGUGGGAAAAGGAAAAAUAUUAU
rnacentral:rRNA from 1 species